rnacentral:rRNA from 1 species
UGGGGAAUUUUGGACAAUGGGGGAAACCCUGAUCCAGCCAUCCCGCGUGUGCGAUGAAGGCCUUCGGGUUGUAAAGCACUUUUGGCAGGAAAGAAACGUCAUGGGUUAAUACCCCGUGAAACUGACGGUACCUGCAGAAUAAGCACCGGCUAACUACGUGCCAGCAGCCGCGGUAAUACGUAGGGUGCAAGCGUUAAUCGGAAUGACUGGGCGUAAAGCGUGCGCAGGCGGUUCGGAAAGAAAGAUGUGAAAUCCCAGAGCUCAACUUUGGAACUGCAUUUUUAACUACCGGGCUAGAGUGUGUCAGAGGGAGGUGGAAUUCCGCGUGUAGCAGUGAAAUGCGUAGAUAUGCGGAGGAACACCGAUGGCGAAGGCAGCCUCCUGGGAUAACACUGACGCUCAUGCACGAAAGCGUGGGGAGCAAACAGG